rnacentral:rRNA from 1 species
AUGCAAAUACCAGCGACAGUUAGCGAAGCUGCGAUGUAUGCUGGUAUUCAGGAAGAGGUCUUGGCUAGAAGCAAACAUGUUAAAUGGACAAACCACAAAGCAAUGGGUUCAAAAACUGAUUACAAGGCUCAACCAGUGGCUGUAGGAGAUCUAUGGAAAGCUAGACAGCUGAAAGAGUUUCGAAGGGCUAAUGGUCUUUGUUAUAGUUGUGGAGAAAAAUACACACCAACUCACGUGUGUGCUAAGCACCCGGUUCAGGCAACUGUGCAAGCAUUGCAAUGUGAAGGCCCUACUGUUCUAUCUGAUGAAGUGCUUGAUGCAGUUGAGGAACAGGAAGCAGCCUUACAAGAUAUGCAGCUGUCGGUAAAUGCCAUUUCAGGGGCAGAUCAUCCAAGGACAAUCAGGUUGCGAGCCUUAAUUGGGAAUCAAGUUGUGCUAAUUCUGUUGGAUUCGGGCAGCACUCACAGCUUUAUAGAUAUUGAGAUGUUAGCCUGA